rnacentral:siRNA from 1 species
ACCCACGAAGAGCAUGAUGGGUCC